AAACAAUAUGUUUUUUAAAAGUUAUUGUUUUUAAUGCAUUAAAUGAAUGCCUUAAUGUUAAAAAGUUUAGGACGUGUUACGACGAAACUUUAAAGUGAGUAUUUUUAAUGCUGAGAUCUUUAAAAUUCCAUAAAUAUAGAAAACUAUUUUUUUAUAAAUAAAAAAAUAUAGUGAAUUGAAACAUCUUAGUAACUAAAAAUAAAAUCAACCGAGAUUUUGAUAGUAGUGGUGAACGAACUCAAUUUUAUGACUUUUUAAAAUUUAUUAAAAUUUAUAUUAAAAAUUUGAAAAAGCCAAAGAAGGUAAAAGCCCUGUAUUUUUAUAAAUUUUUAUUUAAAACAUUUUUUAAAAAAGAUUAAAACGUUAUUCUAAUAUCGUUUGAAUAAUGGGGAACCAUCCUCAAAGUCUAAAAAUUUUUAACAUUUGAUAGUGAAAAAGUACUAUGAAGGAAAGGUGAAAAAGCAUUUUAGAAAGUGAAAAUUUCCUAAAAUUUAAUGCAAAGAUACAGUUGAGAGCUUAAAAAAAAGUAACAACGUACCUUUUGUAUAAUGGGUCAACGAGUUUAAUUUAAAAGCAAGCUUAAAUUUUAAAAUAAAUAAAGCUUAAAGUAACUAAGUAAUCAAAGUGCUAAAUAUAGUUUUUAAAUUAAAACCCGAAACUGUGUGAUCUAACUAUGAACAGGUUGAAAAUUAAGCGGAAACGCUAUUUGAAGGACCGAACUCGUGUAUGUAGAAAAAUACUGAGAUGAUUUGUAGUUAGGGGUGAAAGGCCAAUCAAACACAGAGAUAGCUGGUUUUCUGCGAAAUCUAUUUAAGUAGAGUUUUUAAAAAUUUUAAAAUAAGGUAGAGCUACUUUUAUAAUGCAGGGGUUUAACAACUUACUUAAUUAUGAAAAACUCCGAAUAUAUUUUAAAUAAUUUUAAAUAAACAGACCAUGGAUGAUAAGAUCCUUGAGUCAAAAGGGAAACAGCCCAGAUUAUUAGUUAAGGACCUUAAAAGAUUUUAAGUGAAUAAGAAAAAAAAAAUAUAAAACCAUUAGUAGGUAGGCUUGGAAGCAGCCAUCCUUAAAAGAAAGCGUAACAGCUCACUGAUCAAUUUUUUUUUUAUCAAAAAUGUAAAGGGCCUAAAAAAUCUUUCCGAAACUAUAAAUUUAUUAAUUUAUUAAUAAAUGGUAGCAGAACUUUCUGUAAACUAAUAAAAAUUUAUAUAAAUAUAAAUUCAAAGUAUCAGAAUAGAAAAUGUUGACAUAAGUAACGAUAACAAUGUAAAAAUCAUUGUCACCUAUUGUUUAAGGUUUAUAAGACAAAGUUAAACUUUCUUAUAUUAAUCGGUCUCUAAGAAAAAAACAUUACGAAAGUAAUUUUUAAUGAGUUAAUUUUUAAUUAAAUUUAAUUUUUAAUUUUAUUAAUUUAUCAGUGACAUAAUUAGAUUUCUAUUUUUAUUUAAAGAAUUCAAAUAAAAGUUUUUAAUAAUUAUCAAGAAACAGCUGUUAAGUUUAUAUUAAUAAAUGACCGUACUUAAUCCGACACAGGUAAACUAGUUUAGUAAAUGAAGGUGAUUGAGAUAAUUAUAUUUAAGGAACUCGGCAAAAUGACUCUGUAUCUUCGGUAGAAAGAGUAACUUUUUAAGGUAACCCUUUAAAAGUUGUCACAAAAUUAAGGACAGCGACUGUUUAUUAAAAACACAGGUCUCUGCUAAAUUGUAAAAUGAUGUAUAGAGACUGACGCCUGCCCAGUGCUGCAAGUUAAAAAAAAAAAAUUUUGGUUUUUUUUAUAAGUCCCAGUAAACGGCGGCUGUAACUCUGACGGUCCUAAGGUAGCGAAAUUCCUUGGUAUUUAAUUGAUGUCCUGCAUGAAUGGCGUAACGACUGUCCUACUGUCUCAAAUAUAAUCUCAGUGAAAUUGAAUUUUUUGUGAAGAUGCAAAAAACUUGCAGGUAGACGGAAAGACCCCGUGCACCUUUACUAUAACUUUGUAUUGCAAUAAUAAAAUAAUUGUAUAGAAUACGUGGGAAACUUAUAAAAUUAACUUAUGAGUUUUAUUUUUAUGUAACCAGUGUAAUACCACGCUUUUAUUUUAUUUUGCUAAUAUACUCUUUGUAUAAACAUUGCAUGGUUGUUAGUUUGACUGGGGCGGUCACCUCCUAAAGAGUAACGGAGGUGCACAAAGGUAAAAAAUAAAAGCGCAAUAGUUAUUUUUGCUUGACUGUAAGAAUUACAAUUCAAACAGGGACGAAAGUCGGUUAUAGUGAUCCGAUGAUUCUUAAUGGAAAGAUCAUCGCUCAACGAAUAAAAGGUACGCCGGGGAUAACAGGCUAAUCAUUCUUUAGAGACCCUAUCGAUGGAGUGGUUUGGCACCUCGAUGUUGGAUUAUCACUUCCUGGAAUUGAAAAAGGUUCCAAGGGUUUGGUUGUUCGCCAAAUAAUGUGGUACAUGAUCUGAGUUUAGAACGUCGUGAGACAGUUUGGUCCCUAUCUUCUGCAAGAUUAAAAAAACUGAAAGAUUUAAACUUUAGUACGAGAGGACCAAGAAAAAAAAACCAAUGGUGUAUCGGUUGUUUUAUCAAAAGCAUUGCCGAGUAGCUACGUUUUUAUUAAAUAAAUACUGAAAUAAUUUAAGUAUGAAUUUAUUCUUGAAAAUAGUUUUUUUAAAAACGUGAAAAACUAUCACGUAAUAGAUAUAUUGUGUAAGAGUUGUAAAAUUUUUAGCAAAUAUAAUACUAAAAAAUAAAAAUUAUGUUUUAUAAAA
rnacentral:rRNA from 1 species